GCACUAUCGAGUGUAUUUGUUGUUUCUUCUGAGAAAGACCUUGUUUCAUAUUUUGAAGGGACAAAAUUAAUUUCAACAAAAAGAUGCAAAAACGUUAUACUGUUCUGUGUGCGUUUCUUAUCCUCUUAGGACAACUGUCUGAAUCCAGUGGAAUGGCAUUAAUGGGUCCAGAAAGGAGAGGUUGGACUCUGAAUAGUGCAGGAUACCUACUUGGGCCUUAUGCACAACGAACGCUGACUGUGAGACAUAGACCCCUACUGGGCAAAAAGAGUGUUUGGGAAGAUGAUAUGAAACCAUUCCAAAACAGUGAAUACAAGUCUGUCAUCGAUGACGCCUUUGUUCAAGCUUUUCUGGACAUCAUUACUUACUUACGUCUGAAAGAGAUUGGAGCGAUGGAGGAUUUGAGCACCCAUUAUCUUGCGGAAACGAAGUCAUAAUAAGAAAUCACUACACCUCUCCUAUUGUCAAAACAUUAUUUUCCACCUCCACCUGUUCCUAUGGUAUUCAACUGCUUUUUCAAUGGU